GUCGGGAAUCUUGGACAAUGGGGGAAACCCUGAUCCAGCCACGCCGCGUGGGUGAUGGAGGCCUUCGGGUCGUAAAGCCCUGUCAGAGGGGAAGAAACGGUCUUUUGCUAAUACCAACGGACCUUGACGGUACCCUCAGAGGAAGCACCGGCUAACUACGUGCCAGCAGCCGCGGUAAUACGUAGGGUGCAAGCGUUGCUCGGAAUUACUGGGCGUAAAGGACGCGUAGGCGGCCUAGCAAGCGAGAUGUGAAAGCCCCUGGCUCAACCAGGGAAGGGCAUUUCGAACUGCUGGGCUUGAGUCCGAGAGAGGGUGGUGGAAUUCCCGGUGGAACGGUGAAAUGUGUAGAUAUCGGGAGGAACAUCGGCGGCGAAGGCGGCCGCCUGGCUCGGUACUGACGCUGAUGCGUGAAAGCGUGGGUAGCAAACAGGAUUAGAUACCCCGGUAGUCC
rnacentral:rRNA from 1 species